GCCCCGCUAGCUCAGCGGAUAGAGCAGCUGCCUUCUAAGCAGUAGGUCGGGGGUUCGACUCCCUCGCGGGGCACCA
rnacentral:tRNA from 2 species